rnacentral:lncRNA from 1 species
AAUCUCAAUCUCACUCAAACUGACCACAAAAAAGGGCAUUUCAGUGAUCUCUACAAGGCAGCUGGAGGUCGGGAUGAUGAAAGCGUUUGUCUUAUGCGGCACACCAUAGAACCCAAGCUCUCUCAGUGGCUGAUCAAACUCAAGGUCCAAACUUGCAAACUGAGGUUGUUGCCACAUAUCAUUGACUCGGCUUGCAAAAUGAUUGAAGUCCAUGUUGAUCUUGUUUUUCCUAGCCCUCUCCCGCUGCUCUUCAUCAAUCUCGUCUGGGUCAUAGGCUGAUCUCCUUCCACCGCCUAAGGAUUGCACAACAUCCAUCACCUCAACAUAGAACUGGACGUCCUUUGUUUUCUUGUUUGCUACCAUGAUGUGGUUGUGCAGGUGAAAAUGCAGGACGGUUAUCAUCUCCUUCUCAGCAGGCUGGAAAAACGCGUGCUUAAUGUUUCCAAACAGGACAUCCACGCGCUCAUUGGGCCUAGUUGUAGAAUAUCUGAAACCAUUGGCAUGAGCUUCGAGUGUUCCAGGAAUCCUCUUGCGACCGCUAAACUGUGGACGGAUCCAUAGAUCAGACAACCUGAGAGGUUUGAACUUGUUUCCUGCAAGCUGAAGCUUCUCCUGGGUAACCAGUGUUGCCCUCUCGAUUCUUUCCGACUCACGAGCAUUGACUUGCCGUCUCAGGGUCUUAAUCGCCUGAACCACUUCACUGCUAUGCUUUGAAUCCUUGGACCGGAAUGAAACCUCCUUGAGGUAUAUAGCUCCCUGGUUUUUCAAAGUGUUGGAGUCAGGAGGGUUGAAGGGUGUACCGGGGACAUUGAAAAUGAUACGGAUGUAGUUAUUCUGGCUGCUCUCAUGCUGGUUUGAUACUGUUCUGAUCGCUGAUACAUGGAAUGGAACCAAGCUACCAUAGAUGGGUAACAAUAAAGCCUCGUUCUUCUGAUCAACUUGAAUCAUCAAAUCCCGAGGCUGAGGCACAUCAUUAACGUUCUUGUAGGCAACCAUAUCAGUGGAAGCCUUUGCAGUAGACCGUCGGUCUCCAGAACCGGAACUGUCACCAGCAAGCCUUCUGGCAGUUUCUUCAUUUUUCUGGCGUGCAAGCUCUGCCUGGUGCUGUUUCCGCAGCUCCUCUUUAGACACCACAUGAUCAUCUGAUCUAAGAGCUGUUUUUGUCAUGUAGUUCUCUGGUCCAGCGGUCCUUGCCUUCUUCCUUGGCUUCUCUUCUUCUUCCUCCUUGAAUGAAUAAGCCACAUCCUUAACAGCUUUGGAGCACUUUGUAGUCAAGAUCUCAGGAUUCUGAUCUUUAACAAUAACAGUAUCUGCCAGUAAUAGCGAGAAUUUCUUGUUCUUGCUGCGGCUCUCCUCCUCACAUUCCAAGUUCUGGAACCCAAGAGACACAUUAAACGCCAUCUCAGAUCUCAACACUUUAUCAUUCUUCGCAUUAAUAUUCAAUCCAGACUCUCUGAAUUCAAGACCGAUACCAGUACCAGCAGACUUGGUUAGCUUGUCAACCAACUCAGGAGCUUCCUUUUCAACCACAGAGAGGGCAGCUUGAUAGAUAGUAUUCAACUUAGUUCCUGGCCUCAGAGCAUUAAUUGCAGCUUCAUGUGCCUUGAGAAGAACUUCAUAAGCCUUGCUCUGGAGAGGAGUUGCAUCUAUUAGGUAAGUCCUAGCAACAUUGGAGCAAUAGCUAUUGUACCGAGCACCAACAGCGCAUAUAAUGAUGCUCGCUGGAUCAUAAGUGAGCAAUUCAUCAUCACUUGCAGCACUAGGCUUCAGAUCAAACUUGCCUCCACUCUGAAAUAUGGGAGGGUAGCAUAUGUCAACAUUCUCUGCCUUCAGCUUCACAUUGGCUUUCGUUGGCUCAAGUAUUGCUUUCUCGCGGCACACCAUAGAACCCAAGCUCUCUCAGUGGUUGAUCAAACUCAAGGUCCAAACUUGCAAACUGAGGUUGUUGCCACAUAUCAUUGACUCGGCUUGCAAAAUGGUUGAAGUCCAUGUUGAUCUUGUUUUUCCUAGCCCUCUCCCGCUGCUACCGCAAACAGAUCCGACAACCCCGCAGUGAUAUCCACAAACUGAAACAUUGCAUUCUUUAGCCUCUCAGUCCACGUCUCCAGAAACUUACCUUCAGGAGCCUCACGAGCAAUGUGUCCCACAACUUGAGACUCCUUUCCAUCACCCACAGAUAGAUCACGGAUGGCACGAAAAAUGGCAUCCAUCUGCCCUGCUCCAUCAUCACCUUUAGCCUUCACAUGCAUAACAACAUCAAUCCUCAACUCAUCAAGUGCAGGCUUUUUCACAACUUCAAGCAGAGUUGCCUUGCUCUUGCUGCACAAGAAAUGGAUCUUCUUCGGCGUGAAAACCAUGAUUGUAUCAGGAAACUCAUACCCAAGAAGCCAAAUGUUCAAAGCCGACGAUUUCAGGUAGCGCAGAUCAUCGGAAGCAGGAGGGGUAGCUACAGCAAGAGCGUCAGCAGAUCCCCAGAGGUCUUCACUGUGCUGAUUCCAGUGUGCAUACAAGGCUCUUGUGCGUGAGAUGAAGUUCUUGACAUCAAUUUCGUAGGUGUUCGCAGCUCUUGGAGGCGCUCUUGGAGGCAGGCCAGCAGGAGCUCGUGCGUUACCGUUUCGAGUGUCUCCCAUCUAAAGAGAGCACAGAAGAAACUUAUAUGAGAAAGAAGUUGCAAUAUAUAUUCAGAAACAAGGAAAAGUUAUCAUAAACCUAAAGCUUUCAA